AAAGUGAUUUUGCACGAAUAUUACUCUAAUUAAUUCAUCUUUUUGAAUUAUCGAAGUCCCGAAACUUUUCUUUUUAACAAAAGCUCGGAUUGUGCGAUUCAAGAAAAAUCGACUUUUCUACGUACGGAAUUUUGGAAAACUUCCUUCAUGAAAGUUGUAGAGCUCGUCGAUACGAUCGCGUGCAUAUGUGGAAUGCAAUUUUCGGAGCUCGUAUGAUUAAGUUACGAUUAUUUGAAAUUAGGGAUUCUUUUUGAAAUAGAAAAUUAUAUUUUCUUCUUUCUUUUUUCUUUUCCUUUCCCUUUCCCCGGUCCCUCCUCUUUCUUUUCUUUCUUUUCCUUUUCUCCCCAUGGUGCGCACUACCUCUCACUCUCUCAUCCAUCAGUUCAUGCAACACUAGAAUAAUAUCCAAUAUUUAUUACUUGGUAUUUGAUUUUGAGUUAGUGGGUGUCGGUGGCAAUCAUCCUUUCAUCACUUUUCUGCUUCUUCUUCUUGGAUUCCAUGGGGGCAGCAGCAACAAGCAGCCCAUUAGGCGUUGUCUACCGCAGAAUAAAGAAAGAGAAGAGCAAAGAGUCUUUGCUUUAAUUGCGAUGAGACUUACCCAGAAGGUCACUUUUGCAAGAAAACAAUUAUGGCCAUUCUUGAGGCACCGGCACCACUCGAUACAGAUCGCACUACCACCUUCCUGUCUUCUCUUCCUUCUCCAUUCUCUUCUCUCUCCACUGAGAUUGCUUGCUCGGUCUAGUCGGCCACCGAGUUGACUCACUUCCUCGUCCUCCAGAGCAAGGAGCUCCAGUCCGUGCUCGAAGGAUCCGAUUCGAAGUUCGUCGACCUGUUUGUAAAAGAUUUGAGGUUUUGGUGUUUGAGAAGGGUUUGAGUACUGUGGGUGAGUGAGGGACAGUUCAGAGGUCCAAUCCAGUUAUAGAGUAAUGCUUUGGCUGCUUUGGAAGCUAUUGAUUUGGAUGUGGCUGAGGAGUUCUGCAUUUUUGGGAGGACUUCGGAUCUGUGGAGUUGAGAAAUGAGAGUGAGGGAGUGAGAGUUCGGUGGAGCUUGCAGAUUUUGAUGUUGAUGAUGUGAUGAUGUUAAUGUGAUGAUGAUGUAGGUGAUGAUGAUGAUGAUGUGGGUGGUGAUGAUGGUAAUAAUGUAAAUGGAUGCUACCCUUGUGCUGCCGGAAUUGGAUGCAAACUCAUUUUGGCAUGAUGACAGAUUGAGUUACAUGAGCAUGAGGGCCAUGAGGUGCAGCAAUCAUCGAGUUCAUGACCUUGGCAAGAUUCGGGAUAAGGUGAUUGACGGUUUGAGUUGGUGGACGAUUGUGGAUCGUAUUUUGAGCUGAAUUGAAGACGCAGCGGGAUUAUCGAGCGGGUAAUCCUACAGGACAGGAGAACCAGGACGGUGAUCGUGCGGUUAGAGCAAUUGUUAGAGUUUUACAGUAAUUGUAAGUUGUGAGGUGUUUUAUGCUCAUUUAGAGCUUUACAAUAUUGCUUGUGAGAGUGAAUUGUAAUAAUGAACUCGAGGUUUCGAGAUUUGGAGUUUGUGUACCUUGUGGUGAGAUUAUAUUGAGAAGAAAAUUCAGAACGUUUAUUUGAUUAAGUGGUUUAAUUCAUGUUUCGGAUUUGAAUUUAUCAUUAAAAAUCCGGGGCGUGACAGUUUGGUAUCAGAGCGUAAGGUGCAUAUUUGGUGAUGUGUCAAUACCUUCCGAGUGAUGGCCCGUCUGCAGCGGAUCCCCAUCGUGUGCUCUUCGGUAUUGGCUAAGUCAUUGGGUAUGCGUGAGUGUUGGGAGUUGUUUAGGCCGCUAGGUCGUUUAGGGAACGUGAAUA